UCUGAUUUGAUAAUGGGGAUAAUUGACAAACAAAUGAGGAUCCAGAUUGCACAAUUAGAAGUUAUAAAAUCCCUAACUUUUGCUUACAGUUAUUUUAAUGCAAAUAAGUAAGCAGUUCAUGUUCUUUUUAAAGUUUUACCGUUAUGCAAAUUAUAAUUCAUGAACCUUUUCGGUGCUGGAGCAAGAUAAAAGGAACACUAUAGGGUCAGGGAUUCAAACGUAUAUUCCUGACCAUAUAGUGUUAAAAACACUAUUUAGGGGAUGCAGGGCUUGGCCGCCAUGCAGCUUGGGCUGCUGACCAAUUUCUACUCAAGUUAUUUAGGGGUUAACUAAUCAACCACCGGCACCCGCAUCUGAUGCCUAUUGGACACCCUCUGAGAGAGGUCCCAGUCGUCUCACGGUAACAAUCGUGACACUGCGAUACCCAUAUUAUUGCAGCAUGGUAUGUUGCCUCGAUGGGAGAAGUGGCUGAUCUCCCCCUUUGGGACUAGCCUGGCUCUUCUGCAAAUCUUAAAGGGCCUGCACUCCCCUUCCCCUGUGGUAUGUUCUGUGUGUCACUGAGCACUCCUGUUAUAUUGAAUUCAGAGGCGGUGAAUGUUUAUG